rnacentral:rRNA from 1 species
UACGUAGGGUCCAAGCGUUGUCCGGAUUUAUUGGGCGUAAAGAGCUCGUAGGCGGUUCCGUAAGUCGGAUGUGAAGACUCAGGGCUCAACCCGGAGACGCCAUCUGAUACUGCGGUGACUGGAGUCUGGUAGGGGAUCACGGAAUACCUGGUGUAGCGGUGAAAUGCGCAGAUAUCAGGUGGAACACCGAUGGCGAAGGCAGUGAUCUGGGCCAGUACUGACGCUGAGGAGCGAAAGCGUGGGGAGCAAACAGG